UACGUAGGGACCGAGCGUUGUCCGGAUCAUUGGGCGUAAAGAGCUCGUAGGCGGCUGUUCAAGUCGAACGUGAAAACUCGGAGCUCAACUCCGAGCCUGCGUUCGAUACUGGAUGGCUAGAGUCGUGGUAGGGGGAUCUUGGAAUUCCUGGUGUAGCGGUGGAAUGCGCAGAUAUCAGGAGGAACACCGAUGGCGAAGGCAGGUCUCUGGGCCACUACUGACGCUGAGAAGCGAAAGCAUGGGGAGCGAACAGG
rnacentral:rRNA from 1 species